CGCAACUUGCGCCCCUUGGUAUUCCGAGGGGCACGCCUGUUUGAGUGUCGUGAAUUCCUCCACCCACCAUCCUUUCGUGUUGGUUGGGCUGGGACUUGGGGGAUUUUUGUGGGUCCUAAUUUUCUGGUCCACUCCCCUUGAAUGCAUGAGUGAAGACCCAUGUGGUCCUCGGUGUGAUAGAUAUCUACGCCACGGAUCUGGAUGGACAGUGCUUUGCUUCGAACCGUCUCCUAGUCUGGGACAAAACAUAUCGAACACUUGACCUCAAAUCAGGCGGGACUACCCGCUGAACUUAA
rnacentral:misc_RNA from 1 species